CAACUUUCAACAACGGAUCUCUUGGCUCUCGCAUCGAUGAAGGACGCAGCGAAAUGCGAUACGUAAUGUGAAUUGCAGAAUUCAGUGAAUCAUCGAAUCUUUGAACGCACCUUGCGCCCCUUGGUAUUCCGAAGGGCACACCCGCUUGAGUGUCGUGAAG
rnacentral:rRNA from 1 species